rnacentral:rRNA from 1 species
CAGUCGCCACGGGAAUACGUAGGUGGCAAGCGUUGUCCGGAAUUAUUGGGCGUAAAGGGCUCGCAGGCGGUUUCUUAAGUCUGAUGUGAAAGCCCCCGGCUCAACCGGGGAGGGUCAUUGGAAACUGGGAAACUUGAGUGCAGAAGAGGAGAGUGGAAUUCCACGUGUAGCGGUGAAAUGCGUAGAGAUGUGGAGGAACACCAGUGGCGAAGGCGACUCUCUGGUCUGUAACUGACGCUGAGGAGCGAAAGCGUGGGGAGCGAACAGGAUUAGAUACCCGCGUAGUCCCUGUCUCUUAUAA